rnacentral:rRNA from 1 species
GACGAACGCUGGCGGCGUGCUUAACACAUGCAAGUCGAACGGAAAGGCCCUGCUUUUGUGGGGUUCUCGAGUGGCGAACGGGUGAGUAACACGUGAGUAACCUGCCCUUGACUUUGGGAUAACUUCAGGAAACUGGGGCUAAUACCGUAUAGGAUCUCCUGCUGCAUGGUGGGGGUUGGAAAGUUUCGGCGGUUGGGGAUGGACUCGCGGCUUAUCAGCUUGUUGGUGGGGUAGUGGCUGACCAAGGCUUUGACGGGUAGCCGGCCUGAGAGGGUGAACGGCGACCAUGGGCCUGAGAGACGGACCAGACUCCUACGGGAGGCAGCAGUGGGGAAUAUUGCACAAUGGGCGGGAGCCUGAUGAAGAAACGCCGCGGUCGGGAUGACGGCCUUUGGGUUGUAAAAAGCUUUCGCUUGUGACGAAGCGUGAGUGACGGUAAUGGGUAAAGAAGCACCGGCUAACUACGUG